AUACGGAGGAUGCAAGCGUUAUCCGGAUUUAUUGGGUUUAAAGGGUGCGUAGGCGGUUUGCUAAGCGGGAGGUGAAAUGCCGCCGCUCAACGUCGGAAGUGCCUCCCGAACUGGUGGACUUGAAUGACUCUGCCGUGGGAGGAAUGUGUAGUGUAGCGGUGAAAUGCUUAGAGAUUACACAGAACACCGAUUGCGAAGGCAUCUCACGAAGGGGUGAUUGACGCUGAGGCACGAAAGCGUGGGGAUCAAACAGGAUUAGAUACCCUGGUAGUCCACGCAGUAAACGAUGAUGGCUAACCGCUGGGCUUAUCAGUUCAGUGGCCAAGCGAAAGCGAUAAGCCAUCCACCUGGGGAGUACGACCGCAAGGUUGAAACUCAAAUGAAUUGACGGGG
rnacentral:rRNA from 1 species